rnacentral:rRNA from 1 species
AUUAAUAAUUAUUAUAUUUAAUAAAAAUAAUUUUAAUUUAAUAAAUAUUUUAAUGGGGGUUAAAGUAUUAUUUAAAGAAAAAAUUUUUAAAUUUAUAGUUAAUUAGUAUUGUGAAAGAAUUUUGAAAUAUUAUGAAAAUUAAAAUUUUAGUAAAGUAAUUUUUAUUUAUUGUAUCUUGUGUAUCAGAGUUUAUUAAAAAUUUUUAAUUUAUAAAUUAAUUUCUCGAAUUUAAAAGAGUUAAAUAAUUAUUAAAGUUAUUGUAGCAAAAUUAUUUUAAAUAAUUAUUUAGAAAUGAAAUGUUAAUCGUUUUUAAAUAUAUCUAGUUUUUAUAGAAAAAAAUUUAAUUUUAAAUUUUUAUAUUAUUUAAUUAAUUUAUUAAUUAAAUAAUUAUAAAAAUUUUAUAAUUUAAGGGAUAAGCUUUAAAUUAGAUUUUUAUAAUACUAAAUUUUUAUUUUGAAAAUUUUAUAAUUUAUAUUGUUAAUAAAUUUUAUUUUAUUAUAAAUAAUUUCAUUUUUUUUAAAAUUUAAAUUUUAUUUAAUUUUUUAUAUAAAAUUUAUUUAUAAUUAUAUAAAUUUAAUUAUAAUGAUAAAAUUAGUAUAUUAUUUAAUAUAAAAUUAAAAUUAAUUUUUAAUUAAUAAUUAAAUUAAUUAAAAGGAAUUCGGCAAAUAUUUAUUUUCACUUGUUUAUCAAAAACAUGUCUUUUUGUUUUUAAUUUAAAGUCUAAUCUGCCCACUGAUUUAAAAAAAUUGAAGGGCUGCAGUAUAUUGACUGUACAAAGGUAGCAUAAUCCUUAGUCUCUUAAUUGGUGACUUGUAUGAAAGAUUGGAUGAAAAAUAUACUGUCUCUUAAUUAAUAUGUAGAAUUUAAUUUUUUAUUUAAAAAGUUAAAAUAAUUUAAAAAGACGAGAAGACCCUAUAGAGUUUAAUAAGUUUUUUUGUAAGAGUUUUAUUUAUAAUUAUUAAUAAUUUUAUAAAUUUUUUUAUUUUAUUGGGGUGAUAAAAAAAUAAAUUUAACUUUUUUUAAAUAAUUUACAUAAAUAAAUGAUUAAU